GGUUACUGCUAUCGGUGUUUGCCUAAGCCAUGCGAGUCAAAUGUUCUUUGUGAACAUGGCAUACUGCUCAGUAACACGUGGAUAACCUGCCCUCAGGUCUGGCAUAACCCCGGGAAACUGGGGAUAAUUCCGGAUAACGCAUAUAUGCUGGAAUGCUUUAUGCGUCAAAGGUCCUCCGCCUGAGGAUGGGUCUGCGGCCUAUCAGGUAGUAGCGGGUGUAAUGUACCUGCUAGCCGACGACGGGUACGGGUUGUGAGAGCAAGAGCCCGGAGAUGGAUUCUGAGACAUGAAUCCAGGCCCUACGGGGCGCAGCAGGCGCGAAAACUUUACAAUGCGGGAAACCGUGAUAAGGGGACACCGAGUGCCAGCAACAUUUGCUGGCUGUCCAGGUGUGUAAACUACACCUGUUAGCAAGGGCCGGGCAAGACCGGUGCCAGCCGCCGCGGUAACACCGGCGGCCCGAGUGGUGAUCGUUAUUAUUGGGUCUAAAGGGUCCGUAGCCGGUUUAGUCAGUCCUCCGGGAAAUCUGUCAGCUCAACUGAUAGGCUAUCGGGGGAUACUGCUAGACUUGGAACCGGGAGAGGUAAGAGGUACUACAGGGGUAGGAGUGAAAUCUUGUAAUCCCUGUGGGACCACCUGUGGCGAAGGCGUCUUACCAGAACAGGUUCGACGGUGAGGGACGAAAGCUGGGGGCACGAACCGGAUUAGAUACCCGGGUAGUCCCAGCCGUAAACGAUGCUCGCUAGGUGUCAUGCAUGGUGCGACCGUGUAUGGUGCCGUAGGGAAGCCGUGAAGCGAGCCACCUGGGAAGUACGGCCGCAAGGCUGAAACUUAAAGGAAUUGGCGGGGGAGCACAACAACGGGUGGAGCCUGCGGUUU
rnacentral:rRNA from 1 species